AUUGAACGCUGGCGGCAGGCCUAACACAUGCAAGUCGAGCGGAUGAAGGGAGCUUGCUCCUGGAUUCAGCGGCGGACGGGUGAGUAAUGCCUAGGAAUCUGCCUGGUAGUGGGGGAUAACGUCCGGAAACGGGCGCUAAUACCGCAUACGUCCUGAGGGAGAAAGUGGGGGAUCUUCGGACCUCACGCUAUCAGAUGAGCCUAGGUCGGAUUAGCUAGUUGGUGGGGUAAAGGCCUACCAAGGCGACGAUCCGUAACUGGUCUGAGAGGAUGAUCAGUCACACUGGAACUGAGACACGGUUCAGACUCCUACGGGAGGCAGCAGUGGGGAAUAUUGGACAAUGGGCGAAAGCCUGAUCCAGCCAUGCCGCGUGUGUGAAGAAGGUCUUCGGAUUGUAAAGCACUUUAAGUUGGGAGGAGGGGCAGUAAGUUAAUACCUUGCUGUUUUGACGUUACCAACAGAAUAAGCACCGGCUAACUUCGUG
rnacentral:rRNA from 1 species